CGUGUUGAUCUGCGAGAAAGGCACGCUGUGGGUGAUGAACUUCUCCAGGUCCAGCUCCUUCCUCAUGUACAUCUCCACGACUUCCGGGAGGUCGGUCCGCGGCUUGUAGUUGCCGAAGAAGGUGCCCUUCAGGGUCCUCUCAUUGAGCAAGUUCAUCGGGCUUGUCUUGAACACCGCCUCCUUGUGCGGGACGCCCACCAGCACCGCCACGCCCCAACCCUGCAUCCAGCAGAUUUCAACAUUCAGUCUAAACACUAAAAAUAGCUUGCAAAUAAUUAUCAUUGGAGUAGAGACUAUAUAUAGGUAUAUUGAGAGCUACGUACAUCAUGGACACAUUCGAAGGCGGCGAUCAUGGCGUCGAUGUGGCCAGUACACUCAACCGCACGGUCGACGCCGCCAUUGGUCAUCUCGACAAGCACCUGGAGAGCAACAUUGCACAUUGAGUUUUUGGCACAGGAUUGUGCAUGUCAUGAAGAACGAACAAAGGUGAAAAUAUGUGUUGAGGGAGAUGGAAAGAACUCUUGCACUGGCUUGGUGUGGUCCUUUGGGUUCACAAAGUCGGUGCAUCCAAAUUUCUUAGCUGAAAAAUUAUGUACAGGAUGUUCAGUGUCCCAUCCAACAAUAUUUACCAAGAUAUCCUUGUUUUGCCUGAGGCAAAUCGUACCUUGUUCGUAUUUUGCAGGGUUCAAAUCCACACCAAUGAUCCUUGAUGCCCCAGACAUCUUGGCCCCUUCCAUGGCCUGAUCAUGUGAGGAGCACACAGUAAUUAGUCACACAAUUCUCUCCAGCCUGCAAAAAUAUGUCGUAGAUAAAAAACAUCUUGGAACGUCACUUACAGCAAGGCCUACAGCUCCAAGACCGAAUAUGGCCACCGUCGAACCCUUUUUCGGUUUCGCGACAUUAAGGGUAGCACCAAGUCCUGCAGAAAAAUGACAAUUUAGCUAGUAAUGGAGGUACCCUGAACAUUGCGUUUCAUUUGGAAACAAUGGCAUGAGGAGCCAUCUCUUACCAGUUGAGAUGCCACAGCUGAGAACACAAACUUUGUCAAGGGGCGCCUCGGGGUUGAUCUUGGCGAGGCAACCAACAUGGAUCACAGUGUACUCACUGAAGGUGGAGGUCCCGACAAAGUGGAAGAUGGGUUUCCCGUUGAUGGUGAAGCCUGACUGCCCAUCCCCGAUCAUCACGCCACGAUCCACGUUGAUCCUGAGGAGGUCACAAAGGUUGCUCUCCUCUGACUUGCAGUGGGCACAGUCUUUGCACUCGCCGGUGAAGACCGGGAGUACAUGGUCGCCCGGCACGAGCUCGGUCACACCCUCUCCGACACUUUCAACAAUGCUGCAACAAGAAGCAAGUUAGUAAACAGAUUUAGCAGAAAAGAUAAACUACGAAAACAAACAUAAUACUCAUCAUUCAAUAAAAUGCAGAAAAGGUCCACUUUAAUAAAAUUGACAACUGCCGGAAUCUUUGAUUAUAAACUUGGUAAAUAUAUAAUUAAUGAGGAGGUCGGCAACUGACAGAACAUGGAAAAUUAACAGUCCAAAACCAUAUGAUUGUCCAAAGCACUUUACAGUGUGAGCUUGUGUCAUGGAUGACGUUAAAACAUGAUUCUUCAUAUGUUUUAUCCCAUGGCAAUAAGAUAUGGACACUUUCUGUAUGUAGGUAUCGAUCUAAUACCAUUGACAGAAAAGAGUUCAGGAAUCAGGAUGACUAUAAUUAGAAGCUAGUGUGAAUAGAUAAUGAUCAGUGUUGUGUCGUGAUUCUUCAUAUGCUUUAUCCCAUGGCAAUAAAAUACGGGCACUUGCUGUAUAUAGUUAUCAAUCUAGUAGCACUGACAGCUCAGGAUUUAGUAGUAUGACUGUAACUAGAAGCCAAUAUGAAUAAACUAUGAUUUAGGAUUCAAGAUUCCUCAGCUGAAACAGAAUAAGACAGAGACAGAGAGGAUGCAUACCCUCCAGCUUCAUGGCCCAAGAUCCUAGGGAAAACCGGAGUUUGCCCCUGCACAAACAAACCCAAGCAGAACAUGGCAAGUUAAUCAUCUAUCCAUUGAUCCACGUGUCUUUCACCAUACCCGUCUCGACUACGAGAUGCAAUUGUGUAUUUGUGUGGAUACCUUGGCUUCCCAGAAGUAGACGUCGGUGUGGCAGAGGGCGGUGUAGAGGAUCUUGACGCGCACCUCCAUGGCCUGCGGCGGCGCCACCUCCACCUCCUCGAUCGACAGCGGCUUCCCGGCCUCCCAUGCCACCGCCGCUGCAGUCACCCAAGAACCAAACCAAUUAGAUCAACAAUUCCAGAGCUUCAAAAUCAGACAAGACUGACUGCUAUGUCAGGAACAGACCUUUGCACUUGAUCACCUUCCCGGCGGUCGCCAUCCCUGUCCCUGUCGGUCGCAAGCUCCAAGAACUCGAAGAGAAAGAAGAUCGCUGUCUCUGCUUUGCAGUUCGAUGGUUGUAGAUUUUGGUGAGGAAGGAAGGCGAGGCGAGCCCUGUAUAUAUACUCCUGGUGCUGGAGGAAUCGGCGAGUAAUUAAGGGUAUGCUUGGAGUGCAAGCGGGGAAAGAAGUUGGACUGUUUUUCUUGGACAAGGCGGCCGAAACAGGGGUGUCCAGCCUCCGUUCGCCUGCCUGCGGCGCUGCGCGCGUCUCCGCUGGUUUCAAACCUCGUCCCCGUGUGGUAUAUGUGGAAACCAUGGCGACGUGACCAAGGGGCUAGAGAUCAACGGCAGCCGAAACAGAGUAAAAAACCCUGGGAUGAGGCCAGAGAGGGCUGACUUGGUGACGGAAAACCAGGGCGACCGAGAAAACCAGCUGCGAGAACAACAGCGUCCUCCCCGCUCUGCAACGGUCCACGACCCGACGCAUCGUCGUUUUGCUAGAAAUAAUACUAUACGUAGUAGGCAGCUGAAAAGUCCAUGGUUCUCUGCAUCUGCCGGAUCAGGGCAAUAGGGCAUGCAUGCUGGAUUGCUGGCCGUCGGCUUUCACAGUUUCAGUGUUUCCUCGGAGAGAUUCAGUACGUAGUCUGUAUCGGAUGGCUGACCUGCCUGUCGGUUUUCAGUUCUAUUGUUCUCUCCAGAAGAUUCAGAAGUCUAUAUAGAAUGUGAAUCUUUACUUUUCCUACAAUAAUGUGAAUCUUUUACUAUCCCUAAAAAAUGUGAAUCUUUUAGUCCAACAAAGAACUCCCACCGUUUCUAAAAAUAAGUCUUUUUAGAUAUUCUAACAUGAACUGCAUACGAAACAAAAUGAGUGAAUGUACACUCUAAAAUACGUGUAUAUUCGUUUAUAUGUAGUCUAUGUUCAAAUCUCAAAAAGACGAAUAUUUAGGAACGGGGGAGUAGCAUGACCAGCAGAAAUCAGCUAUACUACUCGUCGAGCUUUAUGUUUUUGCCGCUCGCACCCUGACAAACAAACCACUGAUUUUUUUUAUAAAGAGUAGUAAUAUAUUGAUACCAAUUACAUUUAAACUCUACAACAAACAUGAUAUCUGGAGCUAGUUGUGAUAUCGAGGAUUCACGUAUCUAAAAACAAAAACAAAAAACGACUUGAAAAGGUCAAGGUGACGUGAAUAACUCGUUGCAACACAACAUCAACAACUAUCACUGUCAUAGGCAACAUCAAGAGUACGAGAAGGUCCCCAACAUUGACGCCUUCAAAACGGUAAUGGCGCUUAAACCUCAUUCUCGCCGGAUCCAACAAUACAAGUCAGAUCAUUGAUUUUCAUCCAACGGAGAAAGUCCUAGCAAACUCCAGAUCAUGCCUUCAACAAGGGAGCUCAUGCCACUACUGUCAAAUACAACCAAUGAAGGUCAAACCUCGGAUUUUUAUCCCGAAAAUCAAUGACUGGUACUCAAAGAGCACCAUAAAAAAUGAAACCUACAGAGUUGCCACCACCAACUUAACAAGAAGAAGUCUCGCUACAAUGUCCGAAUUAGCACCAAAACCGCGGACCAGGAUGGACUCGACACAUCGGGCAAUUGCUGAGAAGCCAUAUCUACCUGGGCCAAUAUGUAGCACACCCUGAUCAUCCAUCCCCGAAAGACAAAAGAUACCUGUUGGAGUUCAUCUACUGUGUUGGCGGGAAGCAAAGGCUAGGUUCAAUUGGUUUAGUUUGGUCAGUAGUACUGUUACCGAGCACGUCGUCAGAACUGGACAUGGCCAGUAGCUCCUCAACAAUGUGAAUCUGAACUGUUGGGGGACAAGUGUGAUACUUGCCCUAUCUAUCCCCACACUUGAAGCACAAACCUCGCGCACGGUAGUAAGCCUGUAGUGCGCUGAGUUUACUGGAAUCAGUGUUGCAGUCUCCCAUCGCCCCUCAUCCCGCUCCUCUCCCCUGCCGCCGCUACAGGGAGUGACCGGGCGAAGCCCGGCCAGCGGCUACGGCGGCAGGGCUCCUUCGCCCCCCGAUGCGUGGAUUCGAUGCGGGACGGAUCUGACGGGCAAGGGCGUCACGAUGCGGAAGGUCGUGAUGGUGCGAUCCAUCUUUCUAGCAGCUACGACGGGAGGCGGGUGACCCAGAUGUGGCCUCCGGUGGUGGGGCGUGCUGGGUCUUGGCGGCGGCGGCGAUCUGGCCCAGAUCCGUGGUCCCAAGCACUAGGCGGCGCGGGCUGCGAUCGGCAACGACAACUGGCUGGUGAUGUCUUCUGGGCAGUAGUGGCCGACGUCAAUGGUGGAUCUGGGCGGUGGCGGUCCUCGUGUUUCGGUGGCUGCGUGUGUCUACUCGGCGAGGCACCACGCGGUUCCAGUCAGCUACUGGGGCCAGAUGGCGCGAUUGCCGGUGAAAAUCUCGUCGACUUUGGUCUUACGGACGAUGGCGGUGUCAUUGACGUCAUUUCCUUGUUGAGGCAUCGUCGUUGCAGGCAACGUUAUCUCCCCUAGGCUGCUCCAGGGGAAACCCUCGAUCCGGGUCUUCCCGGAUCGGACUAUGACGCUUCGAUGUUGUUCUCCCUUCUGGGGGCAUCGUUUUGGAGCAGGUGCUGACUGAAAGGGCACAGCGAUGGAAUGGGGUUUUAUCUUUUUUUAGAACAAAGACGCUAGGUGCUUCCGGCUUUAAAUUAAUAAAGCCCACAUCAUAGGCAGCGUACCAACAGAUCCAAACCAUACACACACAGACGGCCUCAGGCCACACACGAGGGAAGUCAUAGGGUUCAAGGCAGACCGCGAGCAAGAGUUACAUGGCUCGAGGGCCAAAUACUGGGCACGCAGGCUCGCAAACGAACAAAAGGGCCACUCCUUUAAGAAGUGGCAGUUGGUUCCCUAGCCAUCAUGCACACCUGGCGGAGACAGUUUUAACUGUGCUACAUCCUCUCAGCAUCCUUGCGCCUCGCCAACGGAUUCCACUACUGCAGAAACAGAUUGCAUUUGUAGAUAACAUUAGCCGAGUGGGUCGGGAAGAUCCCCUCAAUAGCUAGUUUGUUCCUAGUUAACCAGCGCGCCCAGAAUAGUGCCCCAACACAGCUCCACAGAACUCGUUUUCCACUACCCUGGACCGAGUCUAGAAUGGCCACUAAAUCACCGGUGGACCGCGGGUCCCAUGGCACUCCCGCCGUGGUCCAAACAACGUUCCAAGCGAACCUAGAUAGCAGGCAUCAAAAAAAGACGUGAUUUGCGUCCUCGACUACAUUGCAGACCGUAGAUGUGCAUGUCAUCGGCCCCUGCCGUUUUGCUACAUUUUCGAACCUGGGCAAUCUGUUGCGAAACAGUUGCCACAUAAACACUUUGAUUUUGAGAGGGAUGCGUGCCUUCCAGAGGCCCUUAACCACCGGCUGGGCCGCCCCUUGGCAAAGCUUGUGGUAAAGCUAUUUGACCGUAAACUUGGCGGGCGAGGUGAGCUCCCAGGUCACCGAGUCGGCUGCAACAGACAACGAGGUCGAGCUGAUGAGAUCAAGCAUCACCACAUAAUUCGCUCGCUCUUGGUCAUUGAGCUCGCGGUGGAAGUGAACCACCAGGGGGACGAGGCUAAGUCCAAGGCUACGGUCAUGUUCGGGUCUACAGCGAUCGCGUACAAGUCCUGGAAUUCCGACCAGAGAGGUUGGGAGCCAACCCAAAAGUCUAGCCAGAACCUGGCCGAUCAGCCAUCUCCAAUGGCAUACUUUGCCCCUGUUGCAAAGGCUGGUUUGACAGUUUGGAGGUCGUUCCAGAAAGGUGAGACUCUUGCUACACCUUCGAAAAAAUUCCCAUUCGGGAAGUACUUUGUACAUAGAAGGUCCACCCCCAAGCCCGUUGCCCCUUGUGAUAUUUUACAAAUCCACUUGCACAGGAGUGCAAUUUUUAGAAUUCUAGUGUUGGUGAUCCCGAGGCCCCCCAAGGCCUUGGGACGGCAUACCGCCGCCCACUUCACCAUGUGGUACUUGCGCUUCGGGCCCGUACAUUCCAAAAAGAAACACGACCAAGGUGUGUCCAUUUUGGCGCGAACUCCUUCAGCCAGCAGAAAGAGACCCAUCACAAACAUAGGCAGGGAGGACAGGCUCGAGUUCAUGAGCACUAGCCUAGCUCUGGAGGAGAGGAAUUUGCCACGCCAAGGGCACACCUUUCCCCCAAUCUUGGCACAGAGCGGAGCCCAAUCAUCGAUCGUUAGGAGUUUACUAAGGGCAGGCCUAAAUACGUGAAGGGGAACUUGCCAAGUUUACAGUUGAGCAAGUCCGCGAUGCGCCUGCCCUCCUCCGCGUCCAAUCCCAUGGACAAAACUUCACACUUUUGGAAGUUGAUCUUCAUCCCGGAGAUGAGCUCGAAAUUAAGGACGAGGGCUUUGAUAGUGGCCACACUGUGGAGGUUCGGUUGGAACAGCAGUAACGUGUCGUCAGCGUACUGCAGGUGGGAGAUCCCCCCUGGGAUGAGGUGACUAACCACACCUUUGAUGUGGCCGACCUCUGUGGCUUUCCGCAGCAUAGACGCCAGUGCGUCGACUAUGAAGUUGAAUAGGAUCGGGGACAUUGGGUCGCCCUGACGGAGUCUGUGCCUGCUCCGGAAGAAGUGCCCUACUUCUCAGUUGACCUAGAUUGUUGUCUGGCCCCCGGGACCAACUGCAUCACUCGAUGAACCCAAACAGUCGAGAAACCCUGACUAAGGAGAACUUGACACAGGAAAUCCCAAUUAACCCAGUCGUAAGCCUGUUCGAAGUCCAUUUUUAGUAAGAUAGCCGGUUCAUUUGUACGUUUGAGCUCGUGAAUAAUUUCCUGUAGAGCCAGAGGGCCCUCCAGGAUGUGGCGGACGCGGAUGAAAGCAGAUUGCGAACGACUAAUUGUGCAUUGAGCGAUCGGGACGAGGCACGUAGUGCACACUUUGGCACAGAUCUUGAAAGGCACGUUGAUAAGCGCGAUGGCUCUAUACUCGUGAAUGUUAUCCACCCCCGCCACUUUGGGGAUAAGCGAUAAAACGCCGUAGUUGAGCCUAGAGAUGUCUAUUGUACCGUGCAUAAAGCCGUUACACACCUCAAAAAUGGGUCCGCAGAGCAAUGGCCAGAAAUGUUUGAACAUUACAACCGGCCACCCGUCCGACCCGGUGCAGUGUCCGACUUCAUGCUCAUGAGCGCAUCGUUGAUCUCCUUGGGGAGAAACACAAGUCCCAGCUCCGCGUUUUCGUUGUCAAGGACUAACUACGAGGGCAUCCAGACGUCUGUGCGCAGACUAGCCCUCUGGUCCUUGCUUGCCCCCAUCAGUUGGAUAUAGAACUCGUAAACAUGGUUCAUUAUAUCCACUUGGCGCAAUAGCAACCCAUGUUCUGAUUGCAGCCUAAGGAUCGCACAUUUCCGGCGUCUUCCAUUAGCAUAGGCAUGGAAGUACUUGGUGUUGGCAUCCCCUUUAAGAGUCCACUUGAGGCCACCCCGACACCUCCAGUAUUCCACCUCGACACGAAGCAGCGCUUCAACUUUUCCUUCCAGGGCGUAGCGGUGCACCCAUUCUUGCUCUGAGAAGGGCCUCUCAUCAGCCUGGGCAUCGAGCCACGCGAUUUCGUCGAUUAAAUUGCUCUGAGUAACUUGUCAUCUCGCCCUUGGUUUGCGCCCCAUCCCUUGAGGCUCGAAUGGAGGCGCCCCCCUGCCGCAUUCUAGAACUCCAUAGGGCCAUGUUGUGGGCCUAUUUGUUGCACGCUUCUCAACCAUUUUCCCCUAAACAUGGUGUCAAAUUCUGGUAUCUCAAACCAGGCCGUCUCAAAACAUAAACGAGGGCUGCAGUCGGAUCCGGUCCUCCCCUGAGGACAAGAUCAGGGUCCGUGAUCGAACCCUAUGCGCGUUUCCGCGAUGAUCGAGCGAAGAGGAUAAAGCACCUCCUAGCCGGGUGAAAUGAACACCUGAUCCAACACUGAACGCACCGGGGUGAGUUGCUUGUUCAUCCAGGUGUACCUAGCACCGGUCCUAGCCACUUCCUGAAGAGCCAUGGACGCAAUUGCGUUGUUGAACCUAGCCACUCGGGGCGAGUUGAUGAUAUUGUUGUUUUUGUCCGCUCCCGAGCGAAUCAAAUUGAAGUCACCCCCUACCAUCACAGGGAUCAGGGCUGCGGAGAUCGCGAGCACCUUGGCUUGGAUGACCAUGUCACGCCCAAUAUGCGAUACUAUCCUAAAGAGACUCGAAGGUCCCACCAAGGAUAGAACCCCAUAUUGAGACGCUUUUGCAAGGUGGAUAUCAUUACAUCAACAUUACAUAAUAGAUGGGGAUACAUACCAGAGGCAUACAAUGCAACAAGAAUACAACAACACAUCAUACAUAAGAUCAACAUCCGACUACGGAUGAAACACAAACAGAAACUCAAACGACAUCCACCUUGCUAACCCAGGAUGCCGACCUGGAACCUAUCCCCUGAUCGAAGAAGAAGCAGAAGAAGAACUCCAAGACAAGCAAACAACGCUCUCGCGUCAUGAUCAUCGCAUAACCUGUACCUGCAACUGUUGUUGUAGUAAUCUGUGAGCCACGAGGACUCAGCAAUCCCAUUACCAUGGGUAUCAAGACUAGCAAAGCUUAAUGGGAAAGGAAGGGGUAAAGUGGUGAGGUUGCAGCAGCGACUAAGCAUGAUAUGGUGGCUAACAUACGCCAAUAAGAGCGAGAAGAGAAGCAAAUGGAACGUUUGUGAAGCUAGCAAUGAUCAAGAAGUGAUCCUGAACUCCUACUUACUUCAAACAUAACCCAAAACCAUGUUCACUUCCCGGACUCCGCCGAAAAGAGACCAUCACGGCUACACACGCGGUUGAUGCAUUUUAAUUCGGAUCUGGUGUCAAGUUCUCUACAACCGGAUAUUAACAAAUUCCCAUCUGCCGCAUAACCGCGGGCACGGCUUUCGAAAGUUUAAACCCUGCAGGGGUGUCCCAACUUAGCCCAUCACAAGCUCUCACGGUCAACGAAGGAUAUUCCUUCUCCCAGGAAGACCCGAUCAGACUCGGAAUCCCGGUUACAAGACAUUUCGACAAUGGUAAAACAAGACCAGCAAAGCCGCCCGAUGUGCCGACAAAUCCCGAUAGGAGUCGCACGUACCUCGUUCUCAGGGCACACCGGAUAAGUCAAGCUACGAGUGAAACCAGACCUCAAGUUUCCCCGAGGUGGCCCCGCAGGCUGCUCGGUUCGGACCAACACUCGAAGGAGCACUGGCCCGGGGGGGUUAAAAUAAAGAUGACCCUUGAGUCUGCAGAACCCAAGGGAAAAAGGCUUAGGUCGCAAAUGUUAAAACCAAGGUUGGACCUUGCUGGAGGAGUUUUAUUCAAAGCGAACUGUCAAGGGGGUCCCAUAAAUCACCCAACCGUGUAAGGAACACAAAAUCAAGGAACAUAACACCGGUAUGACGGAAACUAGGGGCGGCAAGAGUGGAACAAAACAUGAGGCAUAAGGCCGAGCCUUCCACCCUUUACCAAGUAUAUAGAUGCAUUAAUUAAAUAAGAGAUAUUGUGAUAUCCCAACAUAAUCCUGUCCAUCAUGGAGCAAUCUUCAACUUCUCCUGCAGCUACCAAUGCUAUAAGAGGGGCUGAGCAAAAGCGGUAACAUAGCCAAGCGACGGUUUGCUAGGAAGGGUGAAAAAUGUUAGAGGCUGACAUGGCAAUUUGGGAGGCUUGAAGAGUAAAUGAUAGGUAGCGCAGCAUAGCGAUAGAACAAAGCAACUAGCAUAGCAAUGAUAGUAGUGAGAUCCAGGGUAGCGGUCAUCUUGCCUGAAAUCCCGCAAGGAAGAAGAACGAGUCCAUGAAGAAGAUGAAGCCACGAAGAUGAACCAAGCGUAGACGAACGAAUCCUCACGAUCGCAAUGAAACAGGAAGUAACGAGAAGGAGCACAACCAGAAAGAAGCAAACAACAAGGUAAACACACAACACAUAGACAAGACAUGAAGCGCAACCAAGCAUGAUGCAUGACAAAGCUAUAUGAGGCUACUCAUGGCAAGAGAUGAUGCAUACAAGAGCAACACAUCAAAGCAAGUUUAAAUGAGGCCGGAAACCACAUAGAACUAAUCCGGUAAGUCCUCAUAUGCAAAUUUUGAAAUUGGUCCAGAUCUUAAUAAACCUUAUGUUCAAGUUGUUAAACAGCAAGUUAAAAUGUACCAAGUUGAUCUACACAAGAUUCUAGUCAAGUUACAUAUAAAGUUCAUUUAAUUCGGAGCUACGACCUAGAAGAUAUGAGCAAAACAAGUUAACCAUGACAUUGAUGCAAAAUGCAUUCAAACAUCAAGCAAACACUCUCAAAACAUGGAUGCAACAUGAUAAGAUAAAACUAUAUGCAAUUCUCAGCAAAUUUCAUGUAGAGCAUGCUCAAAACGGAGCAACGGUGCAACACAUACACUCCAAACAAGAUAUAACAACAAUUUGUCCAAAACAGCAACUAGGCAUCUUACGAGCAUCAUCAAGAUAUGCUACAGCACCCCAACAUGGAAACAAAAGGCAUGAACAUGAUGUACAAAUGAAGCUUAAUAAAACAUGAACACUGAGCUAUCUCCAGAAAUCAUUAGAACAUGCUCAAAACGACAUGACAAGAUUGCAUGUAAUAAUAGUUUCAGACUUUGCAGAAAUAACAUCAGGUUGCAAUGUUUAGAGCUAUCAAACAAUAUGCUACAGGAACUUAACAUAGCAAAAUAAGGCAUGGCAUAAAUCUACUAAACUCAUAGAACAAAAGACCCUUACUGAACAUGAGCCAAAAAGGAACAGAAGAUAUGAUGGCACCCAUGUAAACAUGGCAAGUGAUAUGACAGAUUCAGAAUAAUAGUACAUGGCAGGAACAACGAUAAGUAGGCAUGUUGGUCAGCUUGUAUAGCUCACCAAAGAGCAAUACAUGACAUGAAAAGGUGACCAACAGUAAGAUGACAUAUUUAUGAAGCUAAUUAUGGCAAGAGCAAGUUCAUAGGGUGCAUGGAUCACUAGCAAAACACAUGGCAAAACUGAACUUCAUGUUAAUAGGCUGACAGCAACAUUAUUUAGCAAUUUGAGAACAAGAUUACAACAUGCUACAGCGUGCUAUAAAUGCAACCAGGUACAUGGAUGGAUAUAAAAUGACAUGUAUAACAAAACAUCCUUAGUGAACAUCUCUAGAUUAUGCAUAGAAUGACUUGUAGCAGCAGGUUUACAUAGCAUCAUAAUAUAGCAGAUUCAGCCUAGCAAAAUAGUAACAACAAGUACCCUACUUCGCGAGCUAGAUGCACUCACUACAAGACUCAAAAAAAUACAUGGAUUGCACGUCUAUAAAGAUGGCAUGAUUUAGCUCAAAACACAUGUAGACAUCAUGAUCAUAGGAUGCACACACAAAAUGCAAUGAAAAUGACAAAACAACAAGUUCUGUUAACAGACAGCAGUUAACAUCAUAUAGCACUCUUGCAACGAUGAUAAUGGCAUCAAGAUGGACUCAACAAAGCAUGGAACAAUGGAACGCAAAGAAGAGCAUCUCACAAUGAACAUUUCCAUAUAUCAUAUGCACAAAACGGAGCUAUGGUCAUGGAGAUAUGGCAUAAUGAACAGGGCAUGAAAAUGUCAAAAUAUCAGGGACUUAGCAGAAAUCACCACCUCGAGGGCAGAAGUCAACGGCGGCGCGAGAAGCGAGGAUGGCCGGAGAAGGGGCCGUGGACGGGCGCACGCGGCGGAUCUGGGCCGGAUCUCGCCGUAUCCGGCCAGAUCCCGGCUCGGGGAGGCGGGGAAGGACGCNNNNNNNNNNNNNNNNNNNNNNNNNNNNNNNNNNNNNNNNNNNNNNNNNNNNNNNNNNNNNNNNNNNNNNNNNNNNNNNNNNNNNNNNNNNNNNNNNNNNNNNNNNNNNNNNNNNNNNNNNNNNNNNNNNNNNNNNNNNNNNNNNNNNNNNNNNNNNNNNNNNNNNNNNNNNNNNNNNNNNNNNNNNNNNNNNNNNNNNNNNNNNNNNNNNNNNNNNNNNNNNNNNNNNNNNNNNNNNNNNNNNNNNNNNNNNNNNNNNNNNNNNNNNNNNNNNNNNNNNNNNNNNNNNNNNNNNNNNNNNNNNNNNNNNNNNNNNNNNNNNNNNNNNNNNNNNNNNNNNNNNNNNNNNNNNNNNNNNNNNNNNNNNNNNNNNNNNNNNNNNNGGCUGCGGCAACGGGUGGCUCGGGCCCGGGCGGGCCCCGCAAGGGCUGAGCGGGCCGGCGGCACGCAGCGGUGAAGGACGCCACGAGAGGCGACGUGGCGGCAUGGGAUUCGCUGCGGCGGGCGGCGCGGACGUGUCCGGCGGGAUUGGACAUGUCCGUCGGCGAGAGGAGGAAGAAGCUAGGGUUUCAUCUGGGAAUUUCGGGGGAGGUGGCCUAUUUAUAGAUAGAGGGAGCUAGGAGACUCCAAAUGAGGAGCGGUUUUCGCCCACACGAUCGUGAUCGAACGACCGAGAGCAUGGAGGGAGUUUGGAUGGGCUCAUGGGCUGCCGUGAAGAGGGGCUGGGCUGCAAAGAGAGAGGGGUUUCAGGCUACGCGGUUAACCGUUGGGGCAUCAAACGACCUCCAAAUGGAACGAAAUUUGACGGGCGGUCUACCGGUGCUAUACCAAGGCCACUCGACAAACCUCGGUCUGUUUCGAGAACGAUUUUAACCCGCUCACGAAAACAAGGUCUGGACUCCGAACGGACAACGGAGAGGACCGGGGGAACCCGAACGGAUGCAAGUUUUGAAAAACAUGCAGAUGAAAUGUAGAUGGUGACAUGGAAAAGUGCAACACACAAGCAAAUAACAUGGCAACAACAACGAAUAACUGGAGGACAUCUGGCGCAUCGAAUCCGUGGCGUUACAACUCUCCUCCACUAACAAGAGAUCUCGUCCCGAGAUCUUAGGAACGAGACGGAAGAGAAAGAGGAAGAGGUGAAGUAAGAACACAAGAGAAAAGGUGAACCAAGUCAAGAGCACUAGGGUAGAAAACAGGAAUGACGAGUAUGACGAGAAUCAAAUGCUCAUGGAAACAAGAUGGACUCUGAAAGCACUCCGGUUAGAACAAGAUAGAAAAGGAAUGAAAAAAAGAAUUUGGGCAGCACUCCACCUGAAAAUGGGAGGAAUAGAACAUGAACUUCACCCAAUGAGAUGGCACUUGACGAGAUGACCAAUGCCAUGCCUCCGGAAGAAUUGAAAGAAUGGAAUGAAAAGAACUUAGAAAGAAGGAUUGAAUGGAGUUGUUGAGAAAAUCAACAACGAAAGAAUAAGCUUGUUGUGGACUUAUCAAAAACAACUCAAAACUUGAGGUGAAAUUAUAGCACAACCAAUGUCUGAAUAGCUGAGAGGAAUGAAGAAAUGCAAAACUCCACUUCAAAAGAAAUACGGAGAAUUAAUUGCACUUAGAGACGCGAGAAGAAAAGAUAUUUGAACUCCACCAACAAAAUCUUGAUGAAAACUUGAAGAAUGAAUUAAAUCAUGAAGAACAACCAUGAAGAACUCCGGUGACAAAAGGAUGAUGAGAUAGAAAGAAGGAAAAAAGAAUAAGAUGAGCCUUACGGUGAUUUAGAUGGAGGUUCCGACGAAAUGGCCGAGUAAUUUGAACUCCAGGAAAAGAAAAGAUGAAAACACUUGGAACUAGAAUUUAUUCCUCACGAACAAACUCCAAAGAAAAGGGAUUACUAGACGAUGAUAAAAUAAGAAUAAGAAUUACGUUAUGCUUAUCCUCAUCCAAUUUAAUGGGUAACGAGCGGAUUUGGCAUGCAACUUAUUCCUCUUGAAAAGGAUUGAGAAAUGACAUAUCGCAAACUUGAGAAGGUCUUCAUGAACCACCGGUAGGAUUUGGAAGAACGAAUGAAUUAAUAUGAUAAUCAAGGAAAAAGGAAUCUGAAGGAACCACCGAAAGAAUUAGAAAAAUGACUGAUGAAAGAGAAUGAAUCACCGGGAAGAAUUAGAAGAACCAAUAAGCUAGAGGGGAUUUAUAUGCAAAAGGACAAAGAGAUCAGAGCUGAUAAAGAAUACUUGACAGAUGCACCGGGAUAACUGGAUAACGGUAGCCGAAAUGUGACGACGAAGAAUUCUUCUAGUACGAUGGCCUCCGGUGAAAAGAAACGGGAAAACAACUUCUGACAUACUCCGGAUGGGUAAGAAAAGAAUAUCUGACAAACGGAAUAAUUUGAGAGGAUAAUAUGAAGCUUGAACCACGAAUCUUCGGGAGAACGGGCAAGAUUGAGAGGAAAACUCUUCUUCGGUCUUCAAAUGACGACGAGAAACACCACGAAAAUUACUAAGAUACCCCGGUAGAAUGAAAACCAAAAAGGUUGAGCCAACAAUGAAAUGAUUUGAAAUCGAUCUUGGAAGGGCAUCUGACUGAUGAAAUUCAUUCUUAUGUCAGACUCCGAAAAGAAUUAGGAAUGGCUCCGAAAUAAUUAGAAGAGUCAGGUAAGAUCCUGGGAAAAGACCUAUGGGUUAGGGCCCACUAAAAUAGAACACCGUUGGAAAGGGAUGCUGAACAGAUAGGUGAAGCACCGGAACAAUUAAAAUAUUUGAAUGAGGUGACAACCACGAAUUAAUUGUAACACAGACGAAUCUCCUGAGAUGUCUUGAACACUCCAGAAGGAUAAACUGGCGAGAGGCGAACGAGCGGGGAAAGCACUUGAUCCAAGGAAAAGAAUAUGAUCAAACGAAAACUUGAAUUGAGUCCACCAGAAAAGAGAUGAAGAAUGUCAAACAAAAGAGAAUUCACCGGUUGAAAUAAUUGAGGGAAGAUUGAAGAGGCUCCACACAAAUGAAAUAGCUUCUCGAAUAAAGGCUUGGACUCUGGGAAGAAAAGGGGUGGGAGGGCAGGAAAAACACAGGCAACUAGAACCACGAAUAAUUGAAUAGAGAAGCGCCGGUUGAAAUGAUUGAGGAGAGAGUGCAAAAACUUUGCAUGAGUGGGAUGGAUACUCGAUUACGGACUCCGGCUUCAAGAAAAAAAGGGGUGGGCGGAUGGGAAAAGAAGACAACUAAGGGCAGAGAAACAACUUCGUUGAGAGCAAACUGAGGAUUGAACUUGGCAAAGACGAAGAGACUCGAGUCAAUUUGACGAGAAAUGCACCGUAUGAAAAGAGAUGAGAACCAACGAACGAAAACUAACCGCGUGAUCCUAAAGAAAAAAUUUGAAGGCGAAGAGGAGUAAUUCAAAACACCUACGUCAAGAUUCCUUACCAGAGCUACGAAGGGGCUGAGGAGUAAAAAGAAUUCCUACUCUCCGAUAUAACUAGACUCAGAAAUAGUUUUCUUCUAGAAUCAACAACGACCAAACUACACGAUCAAUCAAGGGGGCUCCUAUGGUCGGUCGAGGCUCUGAUACCAACUUGUCACGCCCAAUAUGUGAUACUAUCCUAAAGAGACUCGAAGGUCCCACCAAGGAUAGAACCGCAUAUUGAGACGCUUUUGCAAGGUGGAUAUCAUUAUAUCAACAUUACAUAAUAGAUGGGGAUACAUACCAGAGGCAUACAAUGCCACAAGAAUACAACAACACAUCAUACAUAAGAUCAACAUCCGACUACGGAUGAAACACAAAUAGAAACUCAAACGACAUCCACCCUGCUAACCCAGGCUGCCGACCUGGGACCUAUCCCCUGAUCGAAGAAGAAGCAGAACAAGAACUCCAAGACAGGCAAACAACGCUCUCGCGUCAUGAUCAUCGCAUAACCUGUACUUGCAACAGUUGUUGUAGUAAUUUGUGAGCCACGAGGACUCAGCAAUCCCAUUACCAUGGGUAUCAAGACUAGCAAAGCUUAAUGGGAAAGGAAGGGGUAAAGUGGUGAGGUUGCAGCAUCGACUAAGCAUGAUAUGGUGGCUAACAUACGCCAAUAAGAGCGAGAAGAGAAGCAAAUGGAACGUUCGUGAAGCUAGCAAUGAUCAAGAAGUGAUCCUGAACUCCUACUUACGUCAAACAUAAUCCAAAACCGUGUUCACUUCCCGGACUCCGCCGAAAAGAGACCAUCACGUCUACGCACGUGGUUGAUGCAUUUUAAUUCGGAUCUGGUGUCAAGUUCUCUAUAACCGGAUAUUAACAAAUUCCCAUCUGCCGCAUAACCGCGGGCACGGUUUUCGAAAGUUUAAACCCUACAGGCGUGUCCCAACUUAGCCCAUCACAAGCUCUCACGGUCUACGAAGGAUAUUCCUUCUCCCAGGAAGACCCGAUCUGACUCGGAAUCCCGGUUACAAGACAUUUUGACAAUGGUAAAACAAGACCAGCAAAGCCGCCCGAUGUGCCGACAAAUCCCGGUAGGAGUCGCAUGUACCUCGUUCUCAGGGCACACCGGAUAAGUCAAGCUACGAGUGAAACCAGACCUCAAGUUUCCCCAAGGUGGCCCCGCAGGCUGCUCGGUUCGGACCAACACUCGAAGGAGCACUGGCCCCGGGGGGGGGGGGGUUAAAAUAAAGAUGACCCUUGAGUUUGCAGAACCCAAGGGAAAAAGGCUUAGGUGGCAAAUGUUAAAACCAAGGUUGGGCCUUGCUGGAGGAAUUUAUUCAAAGCGAACUGUCAAGGGGGUCCCAUAAAUCACCCAACCGUGUAAGGAACGCAAAAUCAAGGAACAUAACACCGGUAUGACGGAAACUAGGGGCGGCAAGAGUGGAACAAAACACGAGGCAUAAGGCCGAGCCUUCCAUCCUUUACCAAGUAUAUAGAUGCAUUAAUUAAAUAAGAGAUAUUGUGAUAUCCCAACAUAAUCCUGUCCAUCAUGGAGCAAUCUUCAACUUCACCUGCAGCUACCAAUGCUAUAAGAGGGGCUGAGCAAAAGUGGUAACAUAGCCAAGCGAUGGUUUGCUAGGAAGGGUGAAAAAGGUUCGAGGCUGACAUGGCAAUUUGGGAGGCUUGAAGAGUAAAUGAUAGGUAGCGCAGCAUAGCGAUAGAACGAAGCAAAUAGCAUAGCAAUGAUAGUAGUGAGAUCCAGGGUAGUGGUCAUCUUGCCUGAAAUCCCGCAAGGAAGAAGAACAAGUCCAUGAAGAAUAUGAAGCCACGAAGACGAACCAAGCGUAGACGAACGAAUCCUCACGAUCGCAACGAAACAGGAAGUAACAAGAAGGAGCACAACCGGAAAGAAGCAAACAACAAGGUAAACAGACAACACAUAGACAAGACAUGAAGCGCAACCAAGCAUGAUGCAUGACAAAGCUAGAUGAGGCUACUCAUGGCAAGAGAUGAUGCAUACAAGAGCAACACAUCAAAGCAAGUUUAAACGAGGUCGGAAACCACAUAGAACUAAUCCGGUAAGUCCUCAUAUGCAAAUUUCGAAAUUGGUCCAGAUCUUAAUAAACCUUAUGUUCAAGUUGUUAAACAGCAAGUUAAAAUGUACCAAGUUGAUCUACACAAGAUUCUAGUCAAGUUACAUAUAAAGUUCAUUUAAUUCGGAGCUACGGCCUAGAAGAUAUGAGCAAAACAAGUUAACCAUGACAUUGAAGCAAAAUGCAUUCAAAUAUCAAGCAAACACUCUCAAAACAUGGAUGCAACAUGAUAAGAUAAAACUAUAUGCAAUUCUAAGCAAGUUUCAUAUAGAGCAUGCUCAAAAUGGAGCAACGGUGCAACACAUACACUUCAAACAAGAUAUAACAACAAUUUGUCCAAAACAGCAACUAGGCAUCUUACGAGCAUCAUGAAGAUAUGCUACAGCACCCCAACAUGGAAACAAAAGGCAUGAACAUAAUGUACAAAUGAAGCUUAAUAAAACAUGAACACUGAGCUAUCUCCAGAAAUCAUUAGAACAUGCUCAAAAUGACAUGGCAAGAUUGCAUAUAAUAACAGUUUCAGACUUUGCAGAAAUAACAUCAGGUUGCAAUGUUUAGAGCUAUCAAACAAUAUGCUACAGGAACUGAACAUAGCAAAAUAAGGCAUGGCAUAAAUCUACUAAACUCAUAGAACAAAAGACCCUUACUUAACAUGAGCCAAAAAGGAACAGAAGAUAUGAUGGCACCCAUGUAAACAUGGCAAGUUAUAUGACAGAUUCAGAAUAAUAGUACAUGGCAGGAACAAUGAUAAGUAGGCAUGUUGGUCAGCUUGUACAGCUCACCAUAGAGCAAUACAUGGCAUGAAAACGUGACCAACAGUAAGAUGAAAUAUUUAUGAAGCUAAUCAUGGCAAGAGCAAGUUCAUAGGGUGCAUGGAUCACUAGCAAAACACAUGGCAAAACUGAACUUCAUGUUAAUAGGCUGACAACAACAUCAUUUAGCAAUUUGAGAACAAGAUUACAACAUACUAUAGCAUGGUAUAAAUGCAACCAGGUACAUGGAUGGAUAUAGAAUGAUAUGUAUUACAAAACAUCCUUAGUGAACAUCUCUAGAUUAUGCAUAGAAUGACUUGUAGCAGCAGGUUUACAUAGCAUCAUAAUAUAGCAGAUUCAGCCUAGCAAAACAAUAACAACAAGUACCCUACUUCGCGAGCUUGCUGGACUCACUACAAGACUCAAAAAAAUACACGGAUUGCUCCUCUGUAAAGAUGGCAUGAUGUAGCUCAAAACACAUGUAGACAUCAUGCUCAUAGGAUGUACACACAAAAUGCAAUGAAAAUGACAAAACAACAAGUUCUGUUAACAGACAGCAGUUAACAUCAUAUAGCACUCUUGCUACGAUGAUAAUAGCAUCAUGAUGGACACAAACAAGCAUGGGACAAUGGAACAAUGUGAAGAGCAUCUCACAAUGAACAUUUCGAUAUAUCAUAUGCACAAAACGGAGCUAUGGUCAUGGAGAUAUGGUAUAAUGAACAGGGCAUGAAAAUGUCAAAAUAUCAGAGACUUAGCAGAAAUCACCACCUCGAGGGCAAAAGUCAACAGCGGCGCGAGAAGCGAGGAUGGCCGGAGAAGGGGUCGGGGACGGGCGCACGUGGCGGAUCCAGGUCGGAUCUCGCCGGAUCCGGCCAGAUCCCGGCGCGGGGACGCGAGGAAGGACGCGGCGCGGGGCGGCAACCUCGGGGGCGGGGCGCNNNNNNNNNNNNNNNNNNNNNNNNNNNNNNNNNNNNNNNNNNNNNNNNNNNNNNNNNNNNNNNNNNNNNNNNNNNNNNNNNNNNNNNNNNNNNNNNNNNNNNNNNNNNNNNNNNNNNNNNNNNNNNNNNNNNNNNNNNNNNNNNNNNNNNNNNNNNNNNNNNNNNNNNNNNNNNNNNNNNNNNNNNNNNNNNNNNNNNNNNNNNNNNNNNNNNNNNNNNNNNNNNNNNNNNNNNNNNNNNNNNNNNNNNNNNNNNNNNNNNNNNNNNNNNNNNNNNNNNNNNNNNNNNNNNNNNNNNNNNNNNNNNNNNNNNNNNNNNNNNNNNNNNNNNNNNNNNNNNNNNNNNNNNNNNNNNNNNNNNNNNNNNNNNNNNNNNNNNNNNNNNNNNNNNNNNNNNNNNGUGAAGGACGCCACGAGAGGUGACAUGGCGGCAUGGGAUUCGCUGCGGCGGGCGGCGCGGACGUGUCCGGCGGGAUUGGACAUGUCCGUCGGCGAGAGGAGGAAGAAGCUAGGGUUUCAUCCGGGAAUUUCGGGGGAGGUGGCCUAUUUAUAGAUAGAGGGAGCUUGGAGACUCCAAAUGAGGAGCGGUUUUCGCCCACACGAUCGUGAUCGAACGACCGAGAGCAUGGAGGGGGUUUGGAUGGGCUCAUGGGCUGCCGUGAAGAGGGGCUGGGCUGCAAAGAGAGAGGGGUUUCAGGCUACGCGGUUAACCGUUGGGGCAUCAAACGACCUUCAAAUGGAAUGAAAUUUGACAGGCGGUCUACCGGUGCUAUACCAAGGGCACUCGGAAAACCUCGGUCCAUUCCGAGAACGCUUUUAACCCUCUCACGAAAACAAGGUCUGAGAGGGGCGACGGGCAUGCGCGAGAGGUCUGGACUCCGAACGGACAACGGAGAGGACCGGGGGAACACGGACAGAUGCAAGUUUUGAAAAACAUGCAGAUGAAAUGUAGAUGAUGACAUGGUAAAGUGCAACAUGCAAGCAAAUAACAUGGCAACAACGACGAAUAACUGGAGGACAUCUGGCGCAUCGAAUCCGGGGCCUUACAGACCACUAGCUUCCUUAAGGAAGCGCGAACUUGAAUAUUUGCAACGAUGAAGAAGGAACCAACUUCCAAGGCAAGCACCUCGUAAAUGGAUAAGUUAAAAUCUAAAAGCAUGCCACCCGAAUGCCCUAUCGCAGGAGCAUGGUUCCACGCGAAGCGUUCUAGGUGGUCAACAGAAGGUAGCUCAUGAUGAUGGAAAUCUGCUUUGAUCAUUUCCUGAAGCCCUACAAUAUCGACGUCCUCUUUCCUGAUGUACUCCUUAAGUUGGGUGCGACGCCCCGCGUGACCGAAGCCACGUAUAUUCCAGAACAUAGCCUGCAUCUAGAUUCUGCGGUUUCGCAAACGAACACCUCGAGAGGUGAUCGCCUUGGCCACGUGCCUCACCUUGCCACGGCAAGGCGAGGGAGGAUAAGCAACCCCUGUUGACGUUUCCUCGUCGGGCCAGACCGCGAGCGCAUCCAAGGCCCCUGCCUCGGAUGCCAACUAGUUCGCGUGUUUCGCAGCCACCGCUGCCAUCUGUCUACGCCAAUUCCUUGGCACGGAUCAGCGAGAUCAACUCUCUAGUCCUGCCAACUGGUUUGCGUGUUUCGCAGCCGCCGCUGCCAGCUGCCUGCGCCAAUUUCUUGGCACGGAUCAGCGAGAUCAACUCUCUAGUCCCUCACACUCCCAACGGGUCCACUCCAAUAUCUCCCAAAACCUCACUCAAGUGAUCAUCGAAAAAGGAAUCAAGAACCAUGAAGCGAGGAGGAGGGGGAUUACUUGAGAUCUCCAUAUUGUUCUGGGCUUGGAGGAGUUAAGCACGCUGGAGAGAUCGCAUGCUCUCCUUGGAGCCCUUAGUGCGGGAGCUCAUCCUCACCGGUGCUACCGGCACGGCCUUGGAGCGCUUGGCCUUGGAGAUGGGCACCGUCUUGGUGGCCUCCUGCAGGAGCAGGUCGAUGAGGGGGGGGGGUGCUGGGGGCCGCCAACGCCAUGACCGUCUGGCACAGAGUGGCUGGUGCUCCCAGCGGCUCCGCAGGCUGAACCACCUCUGCACUCACCUUGCGCACCGCCACCUUCUUAGCUUGCCGCACCCCGCUGGCCUUGUUGUUGUUGUGCCCGCCCUGGACCAGGGAGUGCGAUGAUUGGAGCUGCGAGGUGUCCAUGGACAGGACUAGAGGGGUACGUGUGCCCUCCAGCACGACCACGUCCUCCAAGUCCAAGGGCCCCUUGUCCACCGAACGCACUGGAAGGGAGGUCACCGAGCCGAGGUUGGAGCCGUAUUGGUUGGGGAUUGACACCUCCAACCCAUUGGAUAGCCCGUCCUGCACCGCCUCAGCCGCAUGAGCCGCUUGCUGAGGAGGGAUCGCAGCCACUCCCCUGUCCAAGAUGCCAAGCUUUUCCCAAGCCGCAGUGUCAAUGGAAUCGUCCUCCAUACUAGCAUCUUGAUCCUUGUCCCCGUCCCGCCCCUGGUCGCCCUAAUCUGUACCCUUGCCAUUGUUGUGAGGAGGAGGAGGAAGGGCGGGAGCCCCCUGACGAGGUGGGUCGAGCUCCGGCUCCACUCUGAUGUUGAAGCCUGCACCAUUGAACCAGAUCUGCACCAUGCCCCGCAGGUUGGAAGGGUUGCGGCAGGCGAAGCGCAUGCGGACUGGCCCCAGGCGGAUCAGCAACUCCUCAUCGACCAAGAGAGGCCUGUCGAGCAUCAUAGUUGCCGCCAUGAGCCGGUCCGUCCACCGCUGCUUGGGCGGCACCCCCCGCAGCUUGACCCAAACAUCUGGCAGAGCCUCUUCCUUUGGCUCAUCGAGGACGGCGUCACGGAUGUCGGCCGUGAUGUUAUUGAUGGAAAGGUAAAGCUUGCCGAUGCAUGUGGCCAUCCGCAGCAUGGCCGGGUUCGGGAACACCACAGAGAAAGUGUCGCCAACGAGCUGGGUCACCUGCCAGUCCCAGGACCCCUCAAACAAGUGCGGCAACUCCACCUCCAUAAUGGCCUUUGAGAGCAAGCCCGGGGCCGCGGACAGAACAGCCGCGUUGGCCCCGAGCAAGUUGUUGGGGAACGUAGUAAUUUCUAAAAAUUUCCUACGCACACUCAAGAUCAUGGUGAUGCAUAGCAACGAGAGGGGAGAGUGUGUCCACGUACCCUCGUAGACCGAAAGCGGAAGCGUUAUGACAACGCGGUUGAUGUAGUCGUAUGUCUUCACGAUCCGACCGAUCCAAGCGCCGAACAUACGGCACCUCCGAGUUCAGCACACGUUCAGCUCGAUGACGAUCCCCGGACUCCGAUCCAGCAGGGUGUCGGGGAUGAGUUCCGUCAGCACGACAGCGUGGUGACGAUGAUGAUGUUCUACCGACGCAGGGCUUCGCCUAAGCACCACAACGAUAUGACCGAGGUGGAAUAUGGUGGAGGGGGGCACCGCACACGGCUAAGGAACGAUCACGAAGAUCAACUUGUGUGUCUAGAGGUGCCCCCCUGCCCCCGUAUAUAAAGGAGGGAGGGAGAGGUGCGUCCGGCCCCCUAGGGGUGCGCCUGGAGGAGUCCUACUCCCACCGGGAGUAGGACUCCCCUCUUGCCUUGGUGGAGAAGGAAAGGGGGGAGGGGAAAGAGGAAAGGGGGGCGCCUCCCCCUUCCUUGUCCUAUUCGGACUAGGGGGAGAGGGGGCGCGCGGCCUGCCGUGGUCGGCCCUUCCUCUUCUCCCUCAUGGCCCAUGUAGGCCCAUUAACCCCCGGGGGGGUUCCGGUAACCCCCCGGUACUCCGAAAAAAUCCCGAUUUCUCCCGGAACGAUUCCGUUAUCCCAAUAUAGGCUUCCAAUAUAUCAAUCUUUAUGUCUCGACCAUUUUGUGACUCCUCAUCAUGUCCGUGAUCACAUCCGGGAAUCCGAACAACCUUCAGUACAUCAAAACAUAUAAACUCAUAAUGAAAUUGUCAUCGUAACUUUAAGCGUGCGGACCCUAAAGGUUCGAGAACUAUGUAGACAUGACCUAGAACUAUUUCCGGUCAAUAACUAAUAGCGGAACCUGGAUGCUCAUAUUGGCUCCUACAUAUUCUACGAAGAUCUUUAUCGGUCAAACCGCAUAACAACAUACGUUGUUCCCUUUGUCAUCGGUAUGUUACUUGCCCGAGGUUCGAUCGCCGGUAUCCAAUACCUAGUUCAAUCUCAUUACCGGCAAGUCUCUUUACUCGUUACGUAAUGCAUCAUUCCGUAACCAACUCAUUGGCCACAUUGCUUGCAAGGCUUAUAGUGAUGUGCAUUACCGAGAGGGCCGAGAGAUACCUCUCCGACAAUCGGAGUGACAAAACCUAAUCUUGAAAUACGCCAACUCAACAUCUACCUUUGGAGACACCUGUAGAGCUCCUUUAUAAUCACCCAGUUACAUUGUGACGUUUGGUAGCACACAAAGUGUUUCUUCGGUAAACGGGAGUUGCAUAAUCUCAUAGUUGUAGGAACUUUGUAUAAGUUAUGAAGAAAGCAAUAGCAACAUACUAAACGAUCAAGUUCUAGGCUAACGGAAUGGGUCAAGUCAAUCACAUCAUUCUCCUAAUGAUGUGAUCUCUUUAAUCAAAUGACAACACAUGCCUAUGGUUAGGAAACAUAACCAUCUUUGAUUAAUGAGCUAGUCAAGUAGAGGCAUACUAGUGACAUUAAGUUUGUCUAUGUAUUCACACAUGUAUCAUGUUUCCGGUUAAUACAAUUCUAGCAUGAAUAAUAAACAUUUAUCAUGAUAUAGGAAAUAAACAAUAACUUUAUUAUUGCCUCUAGGGCAUAUUUCCUUCAGUCUCCCACUUGCACUAGAGUCAAUAAUCUAGAUUACACAGUAAUGAUUCUAACACCCAUGGAGUCUUGGUGCUGAUCAUGUUUUGCUCGUGGAAGAGGCUUAGUCAACGGGUCUGCUACAUUCAGAUCCGUAUGUAUCUUGCAAAUCUCUAUGUCUCCCACCUGGACUUGGUCCCGGAUGGAAUUGAAACUUCUCUUGAUGUGCUUGGUACUCUUGUGAAAUCUGGAUUCCUUUGCGAAGGCAAUUGCACCAGUAUUUUCACAGAAGAUCUUCAUUGGUCCCGAUGCACUAGGUAUGACACCUAGAUCGGAAAUGAACUCCUUCAUCUAGACUCCUUCAUUUGCUGCUUCCGAAGCAGCUAUGUACUCCGCUUCGCAUGUAGAUCCCGCCACAACGCUUUGUUUAGAACUGCACCAACUUACAGCUCCACCUUUAAUAAAAACACGUAUCCGGUUUGCGAUUUAGAAUCGUCCGGAUCAGUGUCAAAGCUUGCAUCGACGUAACCAUUUACGACUAGCUCUUUGUCACCUCCAUAAAUGAGAAACAUAUCCUUAGUCCCUUUCAGGUAUUUCAGGAUGUUCUUGACCGUUGUCCAGUGAUCCACUCCUGGAUUACUUUGGUACCUCCCUGCUAAACUUAUUGCUAAGCAUACAUCAGGUCUGGUACACAGCAUUGCAUACAUGAUAGAGCCUAUGGCUGAAGCAUAGGAAACAUCUUUCAUUUUUUUCUCUAUCUUCUGCUAUGGUCGGGAAUUGAGUCUGACUCAACUUCACACCCUGUAAUACAGGCAAGAACCCUUUCUUUGCCUGAUCCAUUUUGAACUUUUUCAAAACUUUAUCAAGGUAUGUGCUUUCUGAAAGUCCAAUUAAACGUCUUGCUCUAUCUCUAUAGAUCUUGAUGCCCAAUAUGUAAGCAGGUUCACCGAGGUCUUUCAUUGAAAAACUUUUAUUCAAGUAUCCCUUUAUGCUAUCCAGAAAUUCUAUAUCAUUUCCAAUUAACAAUAUGUCAUCUACAUAUAAUAUCAGAAAUGCUACAGAGCUCCCACUCACUUUCUUGUAAAUACAGGCUUCUCCAAAAGUCUAUAUAAAACUAUAUGCUUUGAUCACACUAUCAAAGCAUUUAUUCCAACUCCGAGAUGCUUGCACCAGUCCAUAAAUGGAUCGCUGGAGCUUGCACACUUUGUUAGCACCUUUUGGAUCAACAAAACCUUCCGGUUGCAUCAUAUACAACUCUUCUUCCAGAAAUCCAUUCAGGAAUGCAGUUUUUACAUCCAUUUGCCAAAUUUCAUAAUCAUAAAAUGCGGCAAUUGCUAACAUGAUUCGGACAGACUUAAGCAUCGCUACGGGUGAGAAAGUCUCAUCGUAGUCAACCCCUUGAACUUGUCGAAAACCUUUUGCAACAAGUCGAGCUUUGUAGACAGUCAUAUUACCAUCAGCGUCAGUCUUCUUCUUAAAAAUCUAUUUAUUCUCAAUAGCUUGCCGAUCAUUGGGCAAGUCAACCAAAAUCCAUACUUUGUUCUCAUACAUGGAUCAUAUCUCAGAUUUCAUGGCUUCAAGCCAUUUUGCGGAAUCUGGGCUCAUCAUCACUUCCUCAUAGUUCGCAGGUUCGCCAUGGUCAAGUAACAUGACUUUCAGAACAGGAUUACCGUACCACUCUGGUGCGGAUCUUACUCUGGUAGACCUACGAGUAUUAGUAGAAACUUGAUCUAAAGAUUCAUGAUCAAUAUCAUUAGCUUCGUCACUAAUUGGUGUAGUUGUCACAGGAACCGGUUCUUGUGAUGAACUACUUUCCAAUAAGGGAGCAGGUACAAUUACCUCAUCAAGUUCUACUUUCCUCCCACUCACUUCUUUUGAGAGAAACUCCUUCUCUAGAAAGGAUCCGAAUUUAGCAACGAAAAUCUUGCCCUCAGAUCUGUGAUAGAAGGUGUACCCAAUUGUCUCUUUUGGGUAUCCUAUGAAGACACAUUUCUCUGAUUUGGGUUCGAGCUUAUCUGGUUGAAGUUUUUUCACAUAAGCAUCACAACCCCAAACUUUAAGAAACGACAACUUUGGUUUCUUGCCAAACCACAGUUCAUAAGGCGUCGUCUCAACGGAUUUUGAUGGUGCCCUAUUUAACGUGAAUGUGGCCGUCUCUAAAGCAUAACCCCAAAACGAUAGCGGUAAAUUAGUAAGAGACAUCAUAGAUCGUACCAUAUCCAGUAAAGUACGAUUACGACGUUCGGACACACCAUUUCAUUGUGGUGUUCCGGGUGGCGUGAGUUGCGAAACUAUUCCGCAUUGUUUCAAAUGUAAACCAAACUCGUAACUCAAAUAUUCUCCUCCACGAUCAGAUCGUAGAAAUUUUAUUUUCUUGUUACGAUGAUUUUCCACUUCACUCUGAAAUUCUUUGAACUUUUCAAAUGUUUCAGAUUUGUGUUUCAUCAAGUAGAUAUACCCAUAUCUGCUCAAAUCAUGUGUGAAGGUGAGAAAAUAACGAUACCCGCCAUGAGCCUCAAUAUUCAUUGGACCACAUACAUCAGUAUGUAUGAUUUCCAACAAACUAGUUGCUCGCUCCAUAGUUCCGGAGAACCGCGUUUUAGUCAUCUUGCCCAUGAGGCACGGUUCGCAAGUACCAAGUGAUUCAUAAUCAAGUGAUUCUAAAAGUCCAUCAGUAUGGAGUUUCUUCAUGCGCUUUACACCGAUAUGACCUAAACGGCAGUGCCACAAAUAAGUUGCACUAUCAUUAUUAACCCUGCAUCUUUUGGCUUCAACAUUAUGAAUAUGUGUAUCACUACUAUCGAGAUUUAGUAAAAAUAGACCACUCUGUAAGUGUGCAUGACCAUAAAAGAUAUUACUCAUAUAAAUAGAACAACCAUUAUUCUCUAAUUUAAAUGAAUAACCGCCUCGCAUCAAACAAGAUCCAGAUAUAAUGUUCAUGCUCAACGCUGGCACAAAAUAACAAUUAUUUAGGUAUAAAACUAAUCCCGAUGGUAGAUGUAGAGGUAGCGUGCCGACCGCGAUCACAUCGACUUUGGAACCAUUUCCCACGCGCAUCGUCACCUCGUCCUUAGCCAAUCUUCGCCUAUUCCGUAGUCCCUAUUUCGAGUUGUAAAUAUUAGCAACAGAACCAGUAUCAAAUACCCAGGUGCUACUAUGAGCAUUAGUAAGGUACACAUCAAUAACAUGUAUAUCACAUAUACCUUUGUUCACUUUGCCAUCCUUUUUAUCCGCCAAAUACUUGGGGCAAUUCCGCUUCCAGUGUCCAGUCUGCUUGCAGUAGAAGCACUCAGUCUCAGGCUUAGGUCCAGACUUGGGUUUCUUCUCUUGAGCAGCAACUUGUUUGCUGUUCUUCUUGAAGUUCCCCUUCUUCUUCCCUUUGCCCUUUUUCUUGAAACUGGUGGUCUUAUUGACCAUCAACACUUGAUGCUCCUUCUUGAUUUCUACCUCCGCAGCCUUUAGCAUUGCAAAGAGCUCGGGUAUAGUCUUGUCCAUCCCUUGCAUAUUAUAGUUCAUCACGAAGCUCUUGUAGCUUGGUGGCAGUGAUUGAAGAAUUCUGUCAAUGACACUAUCAUCAGGAAGAUUAACUCCCAGUUGAAUCAAGUGAUUAUUAUACCCAGACAUUUUGAGUAUGUGUUCACUGACAGAACUAUUCUCCUCCAUCUUACAGCUAUAGAACUUAUUGGAGACUUCAUAUCUCUCAAUCUGGGCAUUUGCUUGAAAUAUUAAUUUCAACUCCUGGAACAUCUCAUAUGCUCCAUGAUGUUCAAAACGUCAUUGAAGAUCCGAUUCUAAACCGUAAAGCAUGGCACACUAAACUAUCGAGUAGUCAUCAGCUUUGCUUUGCCAGACGUUCUUAACGUCAUCAGUUGCAUCUGCAGUAGGCCUGGCACCCAGCGGUGCUUCCAGGACGUAAUUCUUCUGUGCAGCAAUGAGGAUAAUCGUCAGGUUACAGACCCAGUCCAUGUAAUUGCUACCAUCAUCUUUCAACUUAGCUUUCUCAAGGAACGCAUUAAAAUUCAAUGGAACAAUAGCAUGAGCCAUCUAUCUACAACAAACAUAGACAAGCAAAAAUACAAUCAGGUACUAAGUUCAUGAUAAAUUUAAGUUCAAUUAAUCAUAUUACUUAAGAACUCCCACUUAGACAGACAUCUCUCUAGUCAUCUAAGUGAUCACGUGAUCCAAAUCAACUAAACCAUGUCCGAUCAUCACGUGAGAUGGAGUAGUUUUCAAUCAACAUCACUAUGUUGAUCAUAUCUACUAUAUGAUUCACGCUCGACCUUUCGGUCUCUGUGUUCCGAGGCCAUAUCUGUAUAUGCUAGGCUCGUCAAGUUUAACCUGAGUAUUUCGCGUGUGCAACUGUUUUGCACCCAUUGUAUUUGAACGUAGAGCCUAUCACACCCGAUCAUCACGUGGUGUCUCAGCACGAAGAACUUUCACAACAGUGCAUACUCAGGGAGAACACUUCUUGAAAAUUUAGUGAGAGAUCAUCUUAAAAUGCUACCGUCAAACAAAGCAAGAUAAGAUGCAUAAAGGAUAAACAUCACAUGCAAUCAAUAUAAGUGAUAUGAUAUGGCCAUCAUCAUCUUGUGCUUGUGAUCUCCAUCUCCGAAGCACCAUCGUGAUCACCAUCAUCACCGGCGCGACACCUUGAUCUCCAUCGUAGCAUCGUUGUUGUUACGCCAUCUAUUUCUUCUAUGACUAUCGCUACCGCUUAGUGAUAAAGUAAAGCAAUUACAGGGCGUUUGCAUUUCAUACAAUAAAGCGACAACCAUAUGGCUCCUGCCAGUUGCCGAUAACUUCGGUUACAAAACAUGAUCAUCUCAUACAAUAAAAUAUAGCAUCACGUCUUGACCAUAUCACAUCACAACAUGCCCUGCAAAAACAAGUUAGACGUCCUCUACUUUGUUGUUUGCAAAUUUUACGUGGCUGCUACGGGCUGAGCAAGAACCGUUCUUACCUACGCAUCAAAACCACAACGAUAGUUCGUCAAGUUAGUGCUGUUUUAACCUUCGCAAGGAACGAGCGUAGCCACACUUAGUUCAACUACAGUUGGAGAAACAGACACCCGCUAGUCACCUGUGUGCGAAGCACGACGGUAAAACCAGUCUCGCGUAAGCGUACGCGUAAUGUCGGUCCGGGCCGCUUCAUCCAACAAUACCGCUGAACCAAAGUAUGACAUGCUGGUAAGCAGUAUGACUUGUAUCGCCCACAACUCACUUGUGUUCUACUCGUGCAUAUAACAUCAACGAUAAAAUCUUGGCUCGGAUGCCACUGUUGGGGAACGUAGUAAUUUCAAAAAAAUUCCUACGCACACUCAAGAUCAUGGUGAUGCAUAGCAACGAGAGGGGAGAGUGUGUCCACGUACCCUCGUAGACCGAAAGCGGAAGCGUUAUGACAACGCGGUUGAUGUAGUCGUACGUCUUCACGAUCCGACCGAUCCAAGCACCGAACGUACGGCACCUCUGAGUUCAGCACAUGUUCAGCUCGAUGACGAUCCCCGGACUCCGAUCCAGCAGGGUGUCGGGGAUGAGUUCCGUCAGCACGACGGUGUGGUGACGAUGAUGAUGUUCUACCGGCGCAGGGCUUCGCCUAAGCACCGCAACGAUAUGACCGAGGUGGAAUAUGGUGGAGGGGGGCACCACACACGGCUAAGGAACGAUCACGAAGAUCAACUUGUGUGUCUAGAGGUGCCCCCUGCCCUCGUAUAUAAAGGAGGGAGGGGAAGGUGCGGCCGGGCCCCUAGGGGUGCGUCUGGAGGAGUCCUACUCCCACCGGGAGUAGGACUCCCCUCUUGCCUUGGUGGAGAAGGAAAGGGGGGAGGGGAAAGAGGAAAGGGGAGCGCCCCCCCUCCUUGUCCUAUUCGGACUAGGGGGAGAGGGGGCGCGCGGCCUGCCCUGGCCGGCCCUUCCUCUUCUCCCUCAUGGCCCAUGUAGGCCCAUUAACCCCCGGGGGGGUUCCGGUAACCCCCCGGUACUCCGGAAAAAUCCCGAUUUCUCCCGGAACGAUUCCGUUAUCCAAAUAUAGGCUUCCAAUAUAUCAAUCUUUAUGUCUCAACCAUUUCGAGACUCCUCGUCAUGUCCGUGAUCACAUCCGGGAAUCGGAAUAACCUUCGAUACAUCAAAACAUAUAAAAUCAUAAUGAAACUGUCAUCAUAACUUUAAGCAUGCGGACCCUACGGGUUCGAGAACUAUGUAGACAUGACCUAGAACUGUUUCCGGUCAAUAACCAAUAGCGGAACCUGGAUGCUCAUAUUGGCUCCUACAUAUUCUACGAAGAUCUUUAUCGGUCAAACCGCAUAACAACAUACGUUGUUCCCUUUGUCAUCGGUAUGUUACUUGCCCGAGGUUCGAUCGUCGGUAUCCAAUACCUAGUUCAAUCUCGUUACCGGCAAGUCUCUUUACUCGUUACGUAAUGCAUCAUUCCGUAACCAACUCAUUGGCCACAUUGCUUGCAAGGCUUAUAGUGAUGUGCAUUAUCAAGAGAGCCUAGAGAUACCUCUCCGACAAUCGGAGUGACAAAACCUAAUCUUGAAAUACGCCAACUCAACAUCUACCUUUGGAGACACCUGUAGAGCUCCUUUAUAAUCACUCAGUUACGUUGUGACGUUUGGUAGCACACAAAGUGUUCCUCCGAUAAAUGGGAGUUGCAUAAUCUCAUAGUUGUAGGAACUUUGUAUAAGUUAUGAAGAAAGCAAUAGCAACAUACUAAACGAUCAAGUGCUAGGCUAACGGAAUGGGUCAAGUCAAUCACAUCAUUCUCCUAAUGAUGUGAUCUCUUUAAUCAAAUGACAACACAUGUCUAUGGUUAGGAAACAUAACCAUCUUUGAUUAAUGAGCUAGUCAAGUAGAGGCAUACUAGUGACAUUAAGUUUGUCUAUGUAUUCACACAUGUAUCAUGUUUCCGGUUAAUACAAUUCUAGCAUGAAUAAUAAACAUUUAUCAUGAUAUGAGGAAAUAAAUAAUAACUUUAUUAUUGCCUCUAGGGCAUAUUUCCUUCACAAGUCCUGCGGCUCCUCCUUCGAGUCUUUAGCGUACUGCAGGCAGUAGAACCCCUCCCUGGAGAUGACGUGUCCCAUGGUUUGGAGCAGUAGGGGCUUCCCGCGGGUGGAGCAGUGGGCAGAUGUGUGGCCCUCCUGGGUGCACACCACAUACAAUAGCUUGAAGGAGCAGUUGUUUUGGAAGUGACCGGAGCGGCCGCACUUGAUGCACUCCGGGUCGUCCGCCUCCUCGACGGGGAUAGGCUCUACCGUCGUGCCCUUGGAAGAGGAAGGCGCUGAGGGUUGCUACGGGGCGGGUAGGUUGGAGCCACCGCCCCCGCUGACUUGAACUUCUGCUUCUUCGCAUAUGGAUCUCGAACGCGGUCGCCGCUGUGGGGAAGCGGCAGCCCCUUGUGCUUGAGUUCGAGGCCACGCUUCUUGUGCUCCCCCUUCUUCUUCUUUUUCCUCUCCUGUUCCUUGAGCCACCAAGAAGGCGGUGGCCCCCAACCUCCCUCCUCGCCGACGCGCUCCGUCCCCUGCGCCAUGGGUUGACGGCGCCGCUCGCGGUCCCGCGACCGCUCCACCGCCGGCUCUUGGGAUCCCAUGGGCCACUUGUCCGCACGGCGAUCAGCCUUGGAGCCCAUUGCCACCACCUCAGCAAAGGAGCACACGAAGGAUGGAGGGGGAGGGGGAAAGAGGGUGCUAGCGGAUCGGCCGAAACGCCACACCUCAGGUCUGGUGGCAGGAAACUUAAAGAGGCGUCUAGGGUUCCCCGGCGCAGCCACAACCACUUAUAUGGCUUGGCGAGCGGGCCUGGGCCGGGCUGCACCAAGGCGCUCGCAGGCCCCAGCCCAAGGUCGCGGCCCACCUGCCCGACCUAGCCCACCGGCCCUGGAGACUUCUCCUCCCCAACCCUAGGAGCAGGAGCCCGAGGAUCCGCCGGCGCCGCCGCCACCGCGGACCGAGCCAACUCCGGCGGGAUCUUCCUUGGGCUGGCGAGAAGAAGAAGGUCGGCGCUCGUCUCUGGACAUAGCGUCCCACUCCGGGCUGCCCACGCCGGAGCAGCACGAGGUGCAAUCCGUGACAGCGACCUAGCCAGCCUGGGCCCGCAGCCGCCGAGCGCGAACGCGCGCCGCCGUCCGGCCUUGAAGGAGCCCCCGAGCUCCUUCGCCCGCGCCACGAAGUCGCCGACGGAGCACGAAGCCCUGUCGCGCUCCAAAUCAACCACUGCAUCGCACAUCUCCUCCUCCUCAUCCGAACACUCACUGGCUAGGGCCCAGAAUCUGCUCCCCGACCAGCCACCCGCGCGCGAUGGCCGUGGACUCUGCUCCUUGCCCGGCGAAAGGCGGAACUGCCACGUCGCCGGCCGGACCUUAGUCCACGUGCCCCGCUAGGCGGAGACGACCGCGGCGUGGCCGCACGGGGUGGAGGCGCUCGCGGUGUCGCCGCCCGAGUCGCCCUGGUCGCACGGCCGUACAAGAGCCGUUGGAGCCAUCUUGUAGUCUCUUAUGGGAUUUCAUCUUCCCCAUCGAUGACGACAGAUCUCGGCAGCGUGGAGCAAUGGAGUCUCAGCGUCCGAUGCGAGUUGACGGACUCGCGCAGGAGGACGGUGCUGUCUGGCGUCGUGGUGGCGUCGACGGCAGGCCUGGCAAGAUUGUUGCACCAAUUCUUGUUCUGAAGAGAUGGAUAGGUGGAAGACGACAGUGGUCGCCUCUGAGAGUGCGCCGGACCGGUGUGUGCACCAGACCCGGCAAUCUAACUUGGUUGGGGCCUUCAGCUUUAGAUGUUAGGCUUUUUGUGCGAAGUCUGUUUGGUAUUCGGUUUGGAUUUUUGGCACCCCUUCAUCAAGUGGAUAGGAGUAGCGACAAAUGUUGCCGAGAUGAUGGCUUCAGAAUUAUGGAUGCAUUACUUUGUAAGAUCUUUGUAAAUAAUUAAUAAAAUGGCUGAAUGCAUCGGCCAGAUGCAGAGGCCUAGGGUCAUCCUCCUUUUCUAAGAAAAGAAAAAAGAACAUGGCAUUCUGCAAACAAAAAGAAGACCGCAAAACAUCGGAAGUGGUCUGCAACAUGCAACGGAGCCGCCGAUAUUCGUUUCGAGAAAAGGAAGAUGCCGAUUUGAACUCAGAAACUGCAGACUAUUACUCCUCUGUCCCAAGUAUCAAAAACGUUCUUAUAUUAUGGGACGAAGAGAAUAUUACUUUCGAAAAUGUUUUUGUACACUCAUAAGGGAUGGCGGCACACUUGAAAUAUUAAACCCAUUAAGCUACUCGUGAAGGGCGCCACGUGUCGCAAGCUGGUUGGCCCGGCAAGAAAUUUUUUGGAACUUUUUUAGAUGAAGGUGUGGAUUAUUUUUUAAAUGUAUUUUUUCUUUUUAGAUGGAGGUGAGGACCUCUAGUAUUCUUUUAAAUGAAGGGUUAUGCAAAGUGGCACUCCAUGAUACGCUGUGGUGAUAAUUAUUUUUCUUUUUCUACUUUUUUUUAUAAGGUGAGGAUUUUUUUGUGAGAUGUUUUUUUAUACGGAGGCGAGAACACUAUGUAUUUUUUUAAAUGAAAACAUGCACACAACUUUUUCUCAAGCGGGGCCACAGGGUGGCGCCCCAAAGACCAAACCGUGAGCACAAAACACAUACAUGUUCGUUCUUACGACUAUACAUUAUUACUCGAGGGAAGUCCUUAUAAUUUUCUUCUUCUUCUGUUUAAAGCAGCGAGGGUGUGACGAAGAAGCUCGAUCUACUCGUCCAUCCUCAUGACGCAGCGAAGUCCCUCUCCCUUGAGCAUGAGGUCGAACGCCGUGUUGAUCUGCGAGAAAGGCACGCUGUGUGUGAUGAACUUCUCCACGUCCAGCUCCUUUCUCAUGUACAUCUCCACGACUUCCGGGAGGUCGGUACGCGGCUUGUAGUUGCCGAAAAAGGUGCCCUUCAGGGUCCUCUCAUUGAGGAAGUUCAUCGGGUGGGUCUUGAACACUGCCUCCUUAUGGGGGACACCCACCAGCACCGCCACGCCCCACCC
rnacentral:lncRNA from 1 species